UGGGGAAUAUUGGGCAAUGGAGGCAACUCUGACCCAGCAACGCCGCGUGAAUGAUGAAGGUCUUCGGAUUGUAAAGUUCUGUGACGGGGGACGAACACAAUGACGGUACCCCGAUAGCAAGCCACGGCUAACUACGUGCCAGCAGCCGCGGUAAUACGUAGGUGGCAAGCGUUAUCCGGAAUGACUGGGCGUAAAGGGUGCGUAGGUGGUUUGGCAAGUUGGCGGCGUAAUUCCGAGGCUCAACCUCGGCGCUACCGCCAAAACUGUCGGACUUGAGUGCAGGAGGGGUAAGUGGAAUUCCUAGUGUAGCGGUGGAAUGCGUAGAUAUUAGGAGGAACAUCGGUGGCGAAGGCGACUUACUGGACUGUAACUGACACUGAGGCACGAAAGCGUGGGGAGCAAACA
rnacentral:rRNA from 1 species